rnacentral:rRNA from 1 species
UCUGGUUGAUCCUGCCAGUAGUCAUAUGCUUGUCUCAAAGAUUAAGCCAUGCAUGUUUAAGUCCAAGCUGUGUCUUGACACGGCGAGACCGCGGACGGCUCAUUAAAUCAGUCGUUGUCCAAAUGGGACAGAGCUAAGUACUUGGAUAACUGUGGUAAUUCCAGAGCUAAUACAUGCAACCGAUACCCCGAAGAUUCCUUGUGUCUCUGACGGGUGCUUUUAUUAGACCAAACUGCUGGGGCUUGACUCCUCUCAUGUGCGUGGCCUCGUGUCGCGGCUGGGAGGAUGGCCUGACCCACCUUGUGGUGACUCUGAAUAACCACUGAGACAAGCGCACGUACCUCCUCGUGAGGACGGCGCUACCACUUUCGAGUGUCUGCCUUAUCAGCUGUCAACCGCUCGCUAUACGCGACCGAUGGCUUUGACGGGUAACGGAGAAUCAGGGUUUGAUUCCGGAGAGGCAGCCUGAGAGACGGCUACCACGUCCAAGGACGGCAGCAGGCACGCAAAUUACCCAAUCCCAGCACAUCUUGGGGAGGUAGUGACGAAAGAUAACGAAGCGUGCGCCCUUUUCGGGUCUCGCUAUCGGAAUGAGCACUUUUCUAAAAACCCUGUUGAGAACCUACUGAAGGGCAAGUCUGGUGCCAGCAGCCGCGGUAAUUCCAGCUUCAGUAGCAUAUAUUAAAGUUGCUGCGGUUGAAAGGCUCGUAGUUGAAUGUCUGUUCCGAGCAGCGACUGGAGGACGUUGGAGUUGUGCUGUUGUUGCCUUCGUGGUUAUCACACACACGCUCCCGUCCGUUAUAUCCACCGCUCUCGUGUACAAAGGAAAGGAUGACAGUGGUGGCGCGGGCACCUCGUGCACGUGUCCUACUGCUGUUGUCAUGGUUGUCACCCUGAGUAAAUCAGAGUGCUCAAAGCAGUCGUAAAGGGCCUAGCCCUAAUAACAUACGGCGCGGGACACUGGCGUUUCCUCUUCGGAGGACGCUGUGCCUCCGUGUCCAUAGGACAGACUUGGUUAUGCAUGGUAUGUCGGAAUAUGACGCCGGGCGCUGGCUAAGGUGUCGUAGCAGUGGUAUAAGCCAGCCCCGGCGUAAUGAUUAAAAGGGCUUGUCGAGGGCAUUGGUAUUGCGGAGCGAGAGGUGAAAUUCUAUGACCUCCGCAAGACCUCCUGAAGCGAAAGCGUCUGCCAAGGAUGUUUUCAUUAAUCAUGAACGAAAGUUAGAGGAUCGAAGGCGAUCAGAUACCGCCCUAGUUCUAACCCUAAACGAUGCCAACCAUCAAUCCGCUGAGCACCCUUCUUGACGGGCUCGGCGGGCAGCUCCCAUCCUACGGGAAACCAGAGUCUCUGGGUUCCGGGGGGAGUCUGGUUGCAAAGCUGAAACUUAAAGGAAUUGACGGAAAGGCACCACCAGGCGUGGAGCCUGCGGCUUAAUUUGACUCAACACGGGUAAUCUCACCAGGCCAAGACUCUAGAAUGAUUGACAGAUUGAGAGCUCUUUCUCGAUUCAGUGGAUGGUGGUGCAUGGCCGUUCUUAGUUGGUGGAGUGAUCUGUCUGGUUAAUUCCGAUAACGAACGAGACUCUCCCCUGCUAACUAGUCGGUUGGAUCUUGACAUGCGAGUUCGCAGUAGCUGGUUUACUCCUCUCGGGAUUCAGCGGUGGAUGCUGGUGGGCUGUGUUACUUGGAUUGUGUGUGGGCGUAUGCGUUGUGGUCGCAAGGCUGCUCGCUGCGUCUGCCACGCCUGGUGCGCGGUCUAUUACUCCAUGCCAGCUACUCGUGCCGGGGGUUCUCUAGCCUGCACUCCAAGUCCGCCGGCCUUUGAUGGUCUUGAUGAUUUCUUCUUAGAGGGAUAAACGGCUCUGAAGCCGUCAGAGACUGAGAGCAAUAACAGGUCUGUGAUGCCCUUAGAUGCUCUGGGCCGCACGCGCGCUACAAUGCUGGGCACAGCAGGUGUUUCUUCCUGCUCCGAGAGGAGCGGGUAACCCUCUGAAAGCCCUUUAGCGUAUCCCUCUCUUCCUGCGCAUAUCUCUGCCUCUCACGGGGUGUGAGUAUGUGUGGGGGAGAGCAGCGUGCUUGGGCCUGGGGCUUGCAAUUAUUCCCCACAAACGAGGAAUGCCUAGUAGCGGUGGGUCACUGAGCCCGCCGUGACUGAGUCCCUGCCCUUUGUACACACCGCCCGUCGCUACUACCGAUUGGGUGUACCAGUGAGAGCCUUGGACUGGCGGAGCCGCCCUCUCAAAGGGGCGGUAUCACGACUGAAAGAGGUCCGAACUGGUGCACUUAGAGGAAGUAAAAGUCGUAACAAGGUUUCCGUAGGUGAACCUGCGGAAGGAUCAUUA